rnacentral:rRNA from 2 species
GUGCAAGAGUCGAGCAAAAAGGACAGAAGGGAGCUUGCUCCCGGAUGUUAGCGGCGCACUUGUGAGUAACACGUGGGUAACCUGCCUGUAAGACUGGGAUAACUCCGGGAAACACGCGAGACUAAUACCGGAUAGUUCCUUGCACCGCAUGGUUCAAGGAUGAAAGACGGUUUCGGCUGUCACUUACAGAUGGACCCGCGGCGCAUUAGCUAGUUGGUGAGGUGGAACGGCUCACCAAGGCGACGAUGCGUACGCCGACCUGAGAGGGUGAUCGGCCCACACUGGGACUGAGACACGGCCCAGACUCCAAAUACGGGAGGCAGCAGUAGGGAAUCUUCCGCAAUGGACGAAAGUCUGGGGGGACGGAGCAACGCCGCGCUGAGUGAUGAGUAACUGCUUGCACCUUGACGGUACCUAACCAGAAAGCCACGGCUAACUACGUGCCAGCAGCCGCGGUAAUACGUAGCGUGGCAAGCGUUGUCCGGACAUUAUUGGGCGUAAAGGGCUCGCAGGCGGUUUCUUAAGUCUGAUGUGAAAGCCCCCGGCUCAACCGGGGAGGGUCAUUGGAAACUGGGAACACUUGAGUGCAGAAGAGGAGAGUGCGCGCGGAAUUCCACGUGUAGCGCUGAACAUGCGUAGAGAUGUGGAGGAACACCAGUGGCGAAGGCGACUCUCUGGUCUGUAACUGACGCUGAGGAGCAAAGAAAGCGUGGGGAGCGAACAGGAUUAGAUACCCUGGUAGUCCACGCCGUAAACGAUGAGUGCUAAGUGUUAGGGGGUUUCCGG